rnacentral:ncRNA from 1 species
AAAACAACUUAGAACAGAAGCAGUAGUGUUAGUUGCAGUAAUAGAGAGUCUUUGCUGGUGGAAAUAAGACAUGAGCUAGCAUGAAGUCACAUCUGUGAGUCGGUUCUUUGAACUUAGUAGGGGAAUCCGGGAUAGCCCGUUAUAGCUAAAGGUUGAUUAUUAACUUAGUGAGGCAGGUUAUGUGAGUAAUCUGCGAACAUGAGGUGGAAGCACGAUUAGUUCGUCCUCGUA